UGAAGACUCUCAUCGCUGUUGUGUUAGCUCUGACAGUUCUGCAGGCGACCGCUGUGCCUCUGGACGUGAAUGAAGCGGAAGUUGACAGACCUGCUCGCUGGGGGAGAUACUGCGACCAGUCCUAUUACAACAACAGCGGUGUGAUAACAAGUCCUAACCACCCUCAGAAUUAUGAUAACAACCUAGACUGCGAUUACGUCAUCAACCCGACGCUGUACGGACG